UAUAUCUUAGUGUAUGGCACAAAAGAACUUGACUCUUUUAGACCUAGCUCAAACUAGGGGGUAUUA
rnacentral:tRNA from 1 species